rnacentral:antisense_RNA from 1 species
CUUCAUUGAAGACCUAAGUUGCCCCUCCCAGGGUUGGGUUGAUGUAGAUCAACCCAAGAGCUGCUUGGAGUUGAGGAGAAUCAGGAUUGGAUGCUGGAGAGCAGAGAUGAAGAAUAUCAACUAUGGCCUCAGGGCCAGCAGGGAUGCUGGUUUUUCCUCGGCUAAUAGCCAUUUGCAAUAGGGUCAAGAUUUAUGCCAGCUGGAAUCUCACAGGAUAUCAGUCACAUUGCUUUCUUCUAAGCAAUUGCUUACCCUUACAAGAAAAGGAGCAGGAACAUUGAAAGGAAAAUGACAUAUUUAGCUUAGGGUACCGCGUGACAAAUGGCUCUUGAUAACCUUCCCAGGUCAAUUCUGGGAGAGUAGACAAAAGCAAAGAAAACAAAUUGACUACAGACAUCGACAUUCAUCCUACUUGAAGAGAGAACCAGUCUGUGUGAAAAACAGAGUAAAUUUUGAAAGAAUCCAGAAAUUGCCCUGAACUGAUCCAUAAAGAGAAAUUAGAAAUCGAAAGUUGAAAAUUAGGAAGCUCAAGAGUGAAUCUGAGGACUGAUGUGCUCCACACAUUACCUUCAAGACUGUUUAAACAAAGUAUAGCUCACUUCAUUAAAUGACAAUGGUUGGAUUCUGCUUCAUUAGUAGUCAAUCUCAAUGAAUCUGUUCCACAUAUUACCUUCAAGAUUAAUUUACUUUUUCUUCUCCAGGACAGAGUGUUUAGAAAAACCAAAUAGAAAAGCCGCCAAGCUUACCAUUUCAACCAAGGAUAAAUAUAAGAACAUCCCAGCAGUGACUGUGAAGAUCCAGUCUUGAACACAUGGAUCAGCUGACACGGAAAGGCCAAUGUAUAAUCCUAUGAAGGCAGUUAGGGAGCUUAUAAAAUUCAUCAGGAUGGCAGUCUUCAUAGAAAGUCCAGAGCUUAAGAGCACAGCAAAGUCUCCUGAAGUUUAAGAAGAAAGGAAAAUGUAAUUAUCAUUUAAUGGAAGAUGCCUUUGCUAAAGUAACGC